rnacentral:tRNA from 1 species
GCGGUAUAGCUCAGUUGGUUAGAGCACGAUGCUGAUAAUGCCAAGGUUGCAGGUUUGAUCCCUGUAUGUGGGGCAUCUGCA